rnacentral:lncRNA from 1 species
CAAAGGGGAUCGGGGAUAAAACCGAGGAAGGUAGGACAGGGCUUAACCGGGGCACGUUGCUGAACAGUUGGCAAUUUUUGCACUUCUUAACAAACUCGACGGCGUCUUGAUGAAUUGUUGGCCAGUAGUAGCCUUGCCGGAUGAUUUUAUAUGCCAGGCCUUUCGCUGACAUGUGAUCUCCACAGAUCCCUUCGUGAACUUCUCUCAG